ensembl:lncRNA
CCGGGUUCCUCCUGCUUAUACACGUGUUCCCGGGAGGAACCCGCAUGUGAAGCCGGCGUCACAGAGGGGCGAGCAGACGACCUGCGUGAUCGGACGGUCCUGCGACGAUGCGCCAGGCACAUCAGCAGCUGUGUGACCUCAGGGGAGCUGCUGGGGGUCUCUGAGCCCCACUCUCCCACCUGUGAUGUGGGUUGUUCCCGGCUCAGCCCUCCUCGGGAGGCGGUGCGGACGCCACCGUGAGAUUCGUGUCGGGUUGAGGCUGAGCGGCUAUGACGGGUCUCCUGCCGAGACCAGGAUGAGACACUGACCGGGUGAAGGACAGAGCGGCCGCACCUCCUCACCCUGUGGUCCCCGAGACUCCCGGCCGGUGCUCACACAAGGGAGGUCCACAGUGUAGGGGGGGCCCCAGGAGGGAGGAGGCGCCAGCCCAGAACAGGUCCUGCCAGCCCCCAGACGCUCUCUCGCUGGAAUCCGUCUUGGCUGAGAGAGUCACUCGCACACCAGGAGGGGCCCCGAGUCAGACUUGGGCACAAGCAAGACGCUGUCCAGAGGCCGCCUGGAAAACUGACCCCGCGGAGGCAACCUGAGCCGCCCCGACCGCACGGUACUCUGGCCGAGCUCACCCACGGUACUCGUCCUCCUCACCCGUUUCGCAUCCCCCAAGCCCUGCCUCUAUUUCACAGUCGUGCUCUCUGCUGGAUUCCUCCUUCAGAGAAGUCAAGGACCGAGGUCCCGCUUCCAGCCGCUCCGCCGCUGGAACCGGACGCCCGGAACCUCCCCCGGCGCGCAGUCGGCUUACUAAAGAGUCCAGUCCUCGGCGUCCAGUGCUUGCUGGGUGCUCAGCAAAUGCCGGACAAGGGAGUGUCCGAGCACGACUGCCCCCAAAACACAGUGAGAAUGGAGGUCACAUUCCUGAAGGGCAAGGCGGUGCAGUUCAGCGGCCAAGCGAGCCUCAGCAGUGGCUGCUUUGAUGAAAAGUGGUAGCUCUCGGGUUUCCUUGCUGAUCUCCGAGCAUCACUCGUCUCGAGCCGACUCCCACCACAAGUUCACCGUCUGCAGGUGUAUUUGAGAAACCAAGUUACCGGAUGGGACUUGCUAAGCGCCGUUGCACACACCCCACGGCUGGGCUGCUCUUGACCUUGCGGACUGCCGCAGACAGCAGGAUCGCAGUUUCCAAGGACUGUCACGCGAUAAGCACAGAGUUACAUUUAAUCACGAAUUUAACGUAAACGAACGUAAUCGGGUAAUCAGAACGUGCGGCGGCAUGGUAUUACAAGAUGGAGCAGUGCGCUUAAAAUGUGUAAAAUUACGUUAAAAAUUCGUAUUGAACUUUGUAAUAAAAAGGC